AGUGGCGACGUUUUGAAUUUUUGGGCUUUUUUUUGGGCUGGGCACUUCCAGUUUUAACUGAAUAAGUACGAUUUAUCGGUACUUUCUCCUCCUUGCAGAGCAAGAUAUCUGUAUUGUUGUAAAGUUGUGGCUGGUAAUACAAAUUCCAUCCCACUAUAUAGUGUUUACAUAAUGUUUAGUUUGUUCUACAGUCUGUGGUGUCUUUUUUUUAUUAAUUUUUUACAUGUAGUGUGUGUGUGUGUGUGUGUGUGUAUCUAGAUGUACAAGUUUUCUCUUCUGUGGUCGAAACAGUUUCCCUUAAUCUUAAUCUUAACCCCUUAAUCUAUUAGUCUCAUACACAUACUGUAAGUCUGAGUGGUGGGUGUGGCCGUUCAUACUGGUUGAACUUUGUCAGUAAAGUUGGUACAAUAAAGCCCGGAGGCAGCUUGAAAGUGUGUGAGUGCAAAGCGUGAGUGACGGACCGAAGAUGCAUGUAGAUGGAAAGUUCCAAGAAGUGGCAGUGCAGAAGGUUUAUCAGGGCCGUACAGUCCACUGUGUCACGCUCGGCCACCUUCUGACAAUCAGCUAAACCCCUGAAAGCCAUGUAAUUCAGCUCACACGAGCAGCCUGUGUUAUCUAAAGAGUUUCGCUACGUGCAGCCGGAUGAAGUGUCUCGUCUUUAUCGCUGGAAAUAUUUCGAGCGUAAACACAAGUCUUCAUCGCCUUCACCUCGGCGUGGCCGUAAUCCCUUCGUAGUUAUAAGGCAGGUAAGAGACGUGUAAAACUCUGCAUCACUCAAGCUGUCUUUAUUAUUUACUCAAAUACUGCAACUCAAUUCGAUUCGAUUUAUCUGAGAAACUUGAUGUUUUCGCAUGAAUGUCUGACCAAAAAUUGUAUAUAGGCUUACAAUUCCACAUACAGUGGAACGCCAAAGUCUCGGACCGGUAAUGUGAAACUGUCAUCGUAAUGCAACAAUGUUUAUUACAAAUGAUAUUAUGGGCUUGAUAUGUUACUUUCCGACUUGAGUGAAAAGUGGAAUCUUUGAAAUAUUUUACGUGAAUUUCAGAGUUUCUUAGUAUUUGGUAGCGCUGUCAGAGUGUCACCUGAACACUUCAAUAGAAGAGAUAAGGAAUGAGGAAAACCUGACCUUUAGUACAAGGCAAUUAACAUGGAUAAUAGCACAAAUUUGCUUACAUCUGAACAAGAUAUUGAACAUUUACUUCCUGUGUUUGAAGUAUUUUUGAAAUUCCACAAACUGUUCAUUUCCAAUUGUAAAUAAAAAAAAUUAUAAAUAAAUCCCAC
ensembl:lncRNA